UGGGGAAUAUUGCACAAUGGGCGCAAGCCUGAUGCAGCCAUGCCGCGUGUAUGAAGAAGGCCUUCGGGUUGUAAAGUACUUUCAGCGGGGAGGAAGGGAGUAAAGUUAAUACCUUUGCUCAUUGACGUUACCCGCAGAAGAAGCACCGGCUAACUCCGUGCCAGCAGCCGCGGUAAUACGGAGGGUGCAAGCGUUAAUCGGAAUUACUGGGCGUAAAGCGCACGCAGGCGGUUUGUUAAGUCAGAUGUGAAAUCCCCGGGCUCAACCUGGGAACUGCAUCUGAUACUGGCAAGCUUGAGUCUCGUAGAGGGGGGUAGAAUUCCAGGUGUAGCGGUGAAAUGCGUAGAGAUCUGGAGGAAUACCGGUGGCGAAGGCGGCCCCCUGGACAAAGACUGACGCUCAGGUGCGAAAGCGUGGGGAGCAAACAG
rnacentral:rRNA from 1 species